rnacentral:tRNA from 1 species
GCACCGCUAGUUCAACUGGAUAGAAUGUCGGAUUUCGAAUCCGAAGGUUGAAGGUUCGAGUCCUUCGUGGUGCA